rnacentral:rRNA from 1 species
CGUCUAUAUACGUAUAGCAUAUCAAUAAGCGGAGGAAAAGAAACUAACUAGGAUUCCCUCAGUAACGGCGAGUGAAGCGGGAAGAGCUCAAAUUUGAAAUCUUCAAGGUUCUACCUUGACGAAUUGUAGUUUAAAGAAGUGUUUUCUGUUGGAGUUUUGGUAAAAGUUCUUUGGAAUAGGACAUCAUAGAGGGUGAGAAUCCCGUAUUUGACCAUUAUUUCCAGCUGUGUGAUACACUUUCAAAGAGUCGGAUUGUUUGGGAAUGCAGUCCAAAAUGGGUGGUAAAUUUCAUCUAAAGCUAAAUACUGGCGAGAGACCGAUAGCGAACAAGUACCGUGAGGGAAAGAUGAAAAGAACUUUGAAAAGAGAGUUAAGCAGUACGUGAAAUUGUCAAAAGGGAAGCGUUUGACACCAGUGUUGUUUUUUCGAAAAUCAAUUAAAAAUGGACUGGAUUUUGUGUUGUAUUGACUUUAUCAGCUUUCUGCACUUUUUUCCUGUCUUUUUUAAUGCACUUUUCGUUUAACAAGUCAACAUCAAUUUCUUUUGUUGUAAAAGGGUCAUUGGAAGGUGGCUUUCUUUUCGGAGAAAGUGUUUAUAGCCUUUGGCUUCUGCAAUCGGAGAGAUUGAGGUCUGCAGCGUAGAUCCUUCGGGGUUAGAUACAUUUGUGCUAAGCUUAUAGCCUUUCAUAGACAACUUGUUGACUAUGAUCAGUCAUGUAGCUUACUUCGCUUAUGCUAUUUUACCUACGCUUAGGAUGUUGACGAUCAGCUGAGCGCG